UACGGAGGGUGCAAGCGUUGUCCGGAUUCACUGGGCGUAAAGCGCGCGCAGGCGGUCUUCUACGUCUGGGGUGAAAACCCGGGGCUCAACCCCGGGACUGCCUUGGAUACGGGAAGACUUGAGGAUCGGAGAGGCAAGGGGAAUUCCACGUGUAGCGGUGAAAUGCGUAGAGAUGUGGAGGAACACCUGUGGCGAAGGCGCCUUGCUGGCCGAUUUCUGACGCUGAGGCGCGAAAGCGUGGGGAGCAAACAGG
rnacentral:rRNA from 1 species